GAACGAGUUCWCGUUGAUGAUCGGUGCUUGCACCGAGAUUCAACAUGGAACGAGUGGCGGACGGGUGAGUAACACGUGGGUAACCUGCCCUUAAGUGGGGGAUAACAUUUGGAAACAGAUGCUAAUACCGCAUAGAUCCAAGAACCGCAKGGUUCUUGGCUGAAAGAUGGCGUAAGCUAUCRCUUUUGGAUGGACCCGCGGCGUAUUAGCUAGUUGGUGAGGUAACGGCUCACCAAGGCGAUGAUACGUAGCCKAACUGAGAGGUUGAUCGGMCACAUUGGGACUGAGACACGGCCCAAACUCCUACGGGAGGCAGCAGUAGGGAAUCUUCCACAAUGGACGCAAGUCUGAUGGAGCAACGCCGCGUGAGUGAAGAAGGCUUUCGGGUCGUAAAACUCUGUUGUUGGAGAAGAAUGGUCGGCAGAGUAACUGUUGUCGGCGUGACGGUAUCCAACCAGAAAGCCACGGCUAACUACGUGCCAGCAGCCGCGGUAAUACGUAGGUGGCAAGCGUUAUCCGGAUUUAUUGGGCGUAAAGCGAGCGCAGGCGGUUUUUUAAGUCUGAUGUGAAAGCCCUCGGCUUAACCGAGGAAGCGCAUCGGAAACUGGGAAACUUGAGUGCAGAAGAGGACAGUGGAACUCCAUGUGUAGCGGUGAAAUGCGUAGAUAUAUGGAAGAACACCAGUGGCGAAGGCGGCUGUCUGGUCUGUAACUGACGCUGAGGCUCGAAAGCAUGGGUAGCGAACAGGAUUAGAUACCCUGGUAGUCCAUGCCGUAAACGAUGAAUGCUAGGUGUUGGAGGGUUUCCGCCCUUCAGUGCCGCAGCUAACGCAUUAAGCAUUCCGCCUGGGGAGUACGACCGCAAGGUUGAAACUCAAAGGAAUUGACGGGGGCCCGCACAAGCGGUGGAGCAUGUGGUUUAAUUCGAAGCAACGCGAAGAACCUUACCAGGUCUUGACAUCUUUUGAUCACCUGAGAGAUCAGGUUUCCCCUUCGGGGGCAAAAUGACAGGUGGUGCAUGGUUGUCGUCAGCUCGUGUCGUGAGAUGUUGGGUUAAGUCCCGCAACGAGCGCAACCCUUAUGACUAGUUGCCAGCAUUUAGUUGGGCACU
rnacentral:rRNA from 1 species